rnacentral:rRNA from 1 species
CAAUAGCGUAUAUUUAAGUUGUUGCAGUUAAAAAGCUCGUAGUUGGAUUUCGGUUAAGAGCGACCGGUCCGCCGUUUGGUGUGCACUGGUUGGUUUUAACUUCCUGUAGAGGACGUGCUCUGGGUUUAACGACCUGGACUCGGAGUCUACGUGGUUACUUUGAAAAAAUUAGAGUGUUCAAAGCGGGCUUACGCUUGAAUAUUUCAGCAUGGAAUAACACUAUAGGACUCCUGUCCUAUUUCGUUGGUCUCGGGACGGGAGUAAUGAUUAAGAGGAACAGUUGGGGGCAUUCGUAUUUCAUUGUCAGAGGUGAAAUUCUUGUAUUUAUGAAAGACGAACUUCUGCGAAAGCAUUUGCCAAGGAUGUUUNCAUUAA